GACGAACGCUGGCGGCGUGCUUAACACAUGCAAGUCGAACGGAAAGGCCCCCACCUUGGUGGGGGUACUCGAGUGGCGAACGGGUGAGUAACACGUGGGUGAUCUGCCCUGCACUUCGGGAUAAGCUUGGGAAACUGGGUCUAAUACCGGAUAGGACCAUGGUUUAGUGUCUCAUGGUGGAAAGAUUAUUGUUUUGGUGUAGGAUGAGCUCGCGGCCUAUCAGCUUGUUGGUGGGGUAAUGGCCUACCAAGGCGUCGACGGGUAGCCGGCCUGAGAGGGUGGACGGCCACAUUGGGACUGAGAUACGGCCCAGACUCCUACGGGAGGCAGCAGUGGGGAAUAUUGCACAAUGGGCGCAAGCCUGAUGCAGCGACGCCGCGUGGGGGAUGACGGCCUUCGGGUUGUAAACUCCUUUCGUUAGGGACGAAGCCGCACUUUUUUUGGGUG
rnacentral:rRNA from 1 species